CUGCUUUCUGCAUACAAAUUGCACGAUCCCUUUAACUCUUUGCUGCCAAGCUGCAAUCAUCUGCAGUGGGAAGUCUUUGCGAGUAAAGGACAUGCGGAUGUUUCACCCGGCAGCAACAAAAGCUUUGAGAUGGUAAGAGUGCAUGGAGUAUAAAAGAUUCUCCUCCAUUCAAUGACUCCUGCAGCCGCUACAAAAACGUGUGACUGAAGAUGCAGACAUCUGGGAAAUAGCCGCUGCUCCCUCGGAGACACUGUUCAAGUUUGCAAACAGUGUACAAGGCUC